rnacentral:rRNA from 1 species
UACCAGCACCCCGAGUGGUCGGGACGAUUAUUGGGCUUAAAGCAUCCGUAGCCGGUUUUACAAGUCCCCCGUUAAAUCCAGCUGCUUAACAGAUGGGCUGCGGAGGAUACUAUAAGACUAGGAGGCAGGAGAGGCAAGCGGUACUCAGUGGGUAGGGGUAAAAUCCGUUGAUCCAUUGAAGACCACCAGUGGCGAAGGCGGCUUGCCAGAAUGCGCUCGACGGUGAGGGAUGAAAGCUGGGGGAGCAAACCGG